rnacentral:rRNA from 1 species
UACGGAGGGGGCUAGCGUUGUUCGGAAUUACUGGGCGUAAAGCGCACGUAGGCGGCUAUCCAAGUUGGGGGUGAAAUCCCUGGGCUUAACCCAGGAACUGCCUUCAAAACUGGAUGGCUAGAGUCCGAGAGAGGUGAGUGGAAUUUCCAGUGUAGAGGUGAAAUUCGUAGAUAUUGGAAAGAACACCAGUGGCGAAGGCGGCUCACUGGCUCGGUACUGACGCUGAGGUGCGACAGAGUGGGGAGCAAACAGG